GACGAACCGUGCGAACGUUGUUCGGAUUCACUGGGCUUAAAGGGCGCGUAGGCGGACGGUCAAGUCAGGGGUGAAAUCUUUCAGCUCAACUGGAAAAGUGCCUCUGAUACUGAUCGUCUCGAGGGAGGUAGGGGCAUGUGGAACUUCCGGUGGAGCGGUGAAAUGCGUAGAUAUCUGGAGGAACACCGGUGGCGAAGGCGGCAUCCUGGACCAACACUGACGCUGAGGAGCGAAAGCCAGGGGAGCAAACGGG
rnacentral:rRNA from 1 species